rnacentral:rRNA from 1 species
GCACACGUGAACCCUUAUUGAAUGCAUGGAGGUCAACCCCCUAAGGAGAACUACUAACUAGUGACGGAAAGCGUGUAGUAACGUGAGGGAAAGGUGAAAAGAACCCCGGGAGGGGAGUGAAAUCGAACCUGAAACCCUGCACUUACAAGCUGUGGACGCACAUUUCUUGUGUGACCGCGUACUUUUUGUAGAACGGACCAACGAGUUACGUUAAGUAGCAAGGUUAAGCACUUAAGGUGCGGAGCCGUAGCGAAAGCGAGUUUUAACUGAGCGUUCAGUUACUUGACGUAGACCCGAAACCGGCCGACCUACCCAUCAGCAGGAUGAAGCGACAGUAAAAUUUCGUGUAGGUCCGACCCCUCGAGCCUUUCAAAGCUCGGGGACGACUUGUGGGUAACGGUGGAAUUCCAAUCGAACGCGGAGAUAUCUGGGUCUCCCCGAAAUAGCUUUAGGGCUAGCC